rnacentral:tRNA from 3 species
CGCUUAGCUCAGUUGGUUAGAGCACCUGCCUUACAAGCAGGGGGUCAUAGGUUCGAGUCCUAUAGCGUC